GUAAGUGAAUUAACUGCUGUUGUUCUUACGAACAAUAGAGGAAAGUCCAUGCUUGCACAAGCUGCGAUGCUUGUAACGAUUCUGCUAAUCUUAAGAUGAUUAGACGCCUAAUAAGUUUGGCGAUGACGGAUGGUAUACCGAACUGAUCUAAUUAAGCGGUAUAUCAGCCAUAAAGUGCAACAGUGACGAAUUGAUCCGAAAUGGUCAGGUGAAACGGGCAAACUCCAGAAGCAAGAAACUCAGUCAAUGGUCGAGGAAUCAGUAAGAAGAAAACGAACAACUUACUGAACACUAACGUGUAGAUAAAUAGUUAAUUAAACAGAACAUGGCUUACCGCU
rnacentral:RNase_P_RNA from 1 species